rnacentral:rRNA from 1 species
CACGGGGGGAGCAAGCGUUGUUCGGAAUCACUGGGCGUAAAGGGAGUCUAGGCGGUCAGGUAAGUGGAAUGUGAAAUCCCUCGGCUCACCCGAGGACCUGCAUCCCAAACUGCCUGGCUUGAGUAUGGGAGAGGAUGAGGGAAUUCCUGGUGUAGCGGUGAAAUGCGUAGAUAUCUGGAGGAACACCGGUGGCGAAGGCGGCAUCCUGGACCGGUAUUGACGCUGAGGCGCGAAAGCUAGGGGAGCAAACGGG